GAGACAGAGUCUCACUCUGUCACCCAGGCUGGAGUGCAAUGGCGCGAUCUCAGCUCACCGCAACCUCUGCCUCCCGGGUUCAAGCGAUUCUCCUGCCUCAGCCUCCUAAGUAGCUGGGAUUAGAGGUGUGCGCCACCAUGCCCAGCUAAUUUUGUAUUUAUAGUAGAGAUGGGGACGGGGUUUCACCAUGUUAGCCAAGAUGGUCUCAAUCUCCUGACCUUGUGAUCUGCCUGCCUUGGCCUCCAGAAGUGCUGGGAUUACAGGCGUGAGUUACUGCGCCUGGCCUCCCAGUGCUUUUUAAAAAUUUAUUAUUACUAUUUUUUGAGACAGAGUCUCAUUCUGUCACCCAGGCUGGAGUGCCAUGGCAUGAUCAUGGCUCAAUGCAACCUUGAACUCCUGGGCUCAAACAAUCCUCAUGCCUUGGCUUCCCAAAAUGCUGAAAUUUUAGGUUUGAGCCACCACUCCUGGUCCCAAUGUUUUUCAAAAUAUGGAAGACUGCCUUCAUGAGAAGGGCCUGGAUGCUGGUAAAAAAUGGACUCCUGAGCUACACCCUAGACUAAUUCAGAAACUCUAAGGUGGGCCCAGAAAUAUGCAUUUUAUUUAUUUAUUUAUAUAUAUUUUUGAGACAGAGUCUUGCUCUGUCACCCAGGCUGGAGUGCAGUGGCACAAUAUUGGCUCACUAAAACCUCUGCCUUCUGGGUUCAAGUGAUUCUCCUGCCUCAGCCUCCCGAUUAGCUGGGAUUACAGACAUCGCCACCAUGCCCAGCUAGUUUUUGUAUUUUUAGU
rnacentral:lncRNA from 10 species